rnacentral:rRNA from 1 species
CACGUAGGGGGCGAGCGUUGUCCGGAAUUACUGGGCGUAAAGGGUGCGUAGGCGGUCCGUUAAGUCGGAUGUGAAAGACCCGGGCUCAACCCGGGAUGUGCAUCCGAGACUGGCGGACUUGAGUGCAGGAGAGGGAAGUGGAAUUUCUAGUGUAGCGGUGGAAUGCGUAGAUAUUAGGAAGAACACCAGUGGCGAAGGCGGCUUUCUGGACUGUAACUGACGCUGAGGCACGAAAGCGUGGGGAGCAAACAGG